ACGUGGGUAACCUGCCUUAUAGUGGGGGAUAGCCUUUCGAAAGGAAGAUUAAUACCGCAUAAGAUUGUAGUAUCGCAUGAUAUAGCAAUUAAAAGGAAGCAAUUCGCUAUAAGAUGGACCCGCGUCGCAUUAGCUAGUUGGUGAGGUAAUGGCUCACCAAGGCGACGAUGCGUAGCCGACCUGAGAGGGUGAUCGGCCACAUUGGGACUGAGACACGGCCCAGACUCCUACGGGAGGCAGCAUG
rnacentral:rRNA from 1 species